rnacentral:rRNA from 1 species
AGUGAACGCUGGCGGUAGGCCUAACACAUGCAAGUCGAACGGCAGCACAGGAGAGCUUGCUCUCUGGGUGGCGAGUGGCGGACGGGUGAGGAAUACAUCGGAAUCUACUCUGUCGUGGGGGAUAACGUAGGGAAACUUACGCUAAUACCGCAUACGACCUACGGGUGAAAGCAGGGGAUCUUCGGACCUUGCGCGAUUGAAUGAGCCGAUGUCGGAUUAGCUAGUUGGCGGGGUAAAGGCCCACCAAGGCGACGAUCCGUAGCUGGUCUGAGAGGUGGGCUAGCCACACUGGAACUGGGACACGGUCCAGACUCCUACGGGCGGCAGCAGUGGGGAAUAUUGGACAAGGGGCGCAAGCCUGAUCCAGCCAUACCGCGUGGGUGAAGAAGGCCUUCGGGUUGUAAAGCCCUUUUGUUGGGAAAGAAAUCCAGCUGGCUAAUACCCGGUUGGGAUGACGGUACCCAAAGAAUAAGCACCGGCUAACUUCGUGCCAGCAGCCGCCGUAA